rnacentral:lncRNA from 1 species
CCUCACCUCCCAUUGUUUCUGUCUCUCUCUCUCCAUCUCCCUUCCCCCCACCACCAAGAGCACAGACCCCACAGUGAGAAUUCUAAGCUUCAUUCCACAUCCAGGACCAGCAAAGAUCCACCAUCAGGGUUUUAACAAAACAUUCACAUUUAUUCUCCUAACUGAGCACAACAGGAAAUGAAUGCUGGGUGAACGCAAAGCCAGCAUGGUGAAUGUGCCCUGCAGAUCACCUGGGUGUCACCUGACCAUGACAAAGCCCUUGAACAAAAGCUCAGUAGCACCAAGAUCUGUGUGCUCCUCUAUGUUUCCCAGCCUUGCUGGUUGACACCUACCUCAGCUGACUGGCUUCUGGCUAAUGAAAUAUGAACAGAGAUACAAGCCACCUGAGGCCUACCCUUCGAAACAUCCUCCAGCUCUUUCUUCCAUGGCAUCCUUAGAUGCCUCAUAUGCCACAUUUAUCAGGUAUGUCACAUGUAUCAGUUAGAAAAUGGAGAAGCUUCUUGACCCACAAUUAUCAGACUAUUACCUAAGCAAGGAAUAAAUGUUUUCAGUAACGUUAUGUCAGGAGCUAUCUGAUGUGGCAGUUAGCAUUGUUCUUCCUAAACAUUGUAAGCCCCUUAUAGCCCCAGCACUAGGCAUAGGGAACUUUGUUCAGAACAAGGAAAAAAAACUACUGCGUGAAAUAAAUCUCUCUUUUUCUUGUUCUAAUGAUUUCAUGUUUCAAGACAACCCUUGACAUGCAGGUCAGAAGAAAGGUUUUGGUAAAUUAGUCCUGGGAGAUGGGCAGGCCCUUCUGUCACUCACUGUCUCAGAAACAGUGUAAUAUCACCAGGAGUAAUGGAGAAAGGGAGUCUUUCCUGGGACAGACUCCAAAAAGCUCCCUAGAACACUGUGCUAUCAAAAGUGGUGAAUUAAGUAGCAACAAACUUGGGAAACAAUAUAAAGCCCACAUGUUUGUGCCAUUUGUGUGAGCAUGCACACACACACGCCCACCCUUUUUCCCAUGUGGAAUUAUCUUGCAAUAUGUGUCUAUCCCUGGGAAAUUAUCUAACAGAGAAAAUUGUCACCUCCAGUUAUUGUUGCUGUUAUAGGUCUUCAGUUCCCAUACUUCUGAAUGGUCCACGACCUAGGUUUUGAAGGAUGUAGAUGAUGACCUUUUUAACCGAUGACAUUUUUUCUUCUUCUAGAAAUCCUUUUCUGCUUUUCCAAAACUCUCCCUCCCUUCCUUCCAGGCUAUAGUCUAUAGUCUAGUCUCUCAAUUCAAAUUUCUAAUAUUUUUCUUGUCAUCUAGUCCUUUGCUCUUAAGAAAAGGGCUCAGUCGAUAUUUAAAAAAAAAAAACAAGACCCCUAUGGUUUCAAGAUACCCACUUUGAGAAAGCAGAUGAAUUUGAUUUGAGAAGACCCCAGUACGUAAGGCCUUCCUGGAGUCAUGCUUUCAGUGUUUGUUAUUAACUCAGUCACUGAGGCAGAAAAUCAAAAACAGAGCACAGCUCUAAACUCCAUUCUAUUUGGUUCCACAAACCAUCGUAUCAGAAGUCGUUAAAGCCCAGGGACUGCACUAAGAUAUACACAGAGGAAGUUGCUGCCAUACCCUCCUCAUCCCCACCAUCUUCUUCCAAAGUAUGCAGCCACCCCAAACAGACCCCCUAACCUCAGGUUAUUGCAAUGGCCUUCUUCUACAUCUUCCCCUCCAGUCCAUCCUAUUUACUGCUACCUGAGUACAUUCUUCAAACCCAGCACUCAGGUCAUAUCACUCCUUUGCUUAGAAGCUUUCCAAGAUUCCCCACUGCCUUAUGGAAAACCUUGACUGGCAUUCAAAGCCUCAAAAAUCUGCACCCAUUCUACCCUUCCAAACUCAUCUUUCUCUACUCCUCCUCCCAUACUUUGAAACUUCCCACAUCAGCCAUAUCCCAUACAUCCUGACCACCUCCUGAAAGGCCACCAUGGGUCUCUCUGAUAGAAAAAUUCUGUACAUCCUUCAAACUGUCACCCCACCUUGUAGACUUCUUGCUCCAUGUUGUCCCCGUGCAUAUAAGUCUCUCCCAGUUUAAAAUGCCAUAGCUCUUUGAACUUCUCAUUUAUAUUUAACAUGCUCAGCUGUGUAUUACAGUUAUUGCAGAGUUGUUUUUUUCUCCAUGAUUAGAGAGUGAGAUCUUUGCAAAUGUGGAUCCUGACUUAUUCGUGGUGAUGUCUUUCAUGAUACAUGCAUGUCUGUGCUUUUGUAGGGUAGUUGCUCAAUAAAUGUAUAUGCCAUUGAAUUGAAUACAGGGCACAAGUUAGCCAGCCUAACGUUAAAAUUUAACCAGGCUAUUAUCCAAAGUGGGAAUAAAGAAUGGACUGAACUUUCUUGAAAUUUGAUCAGAUAAAUCUUUAAAGAGUAGCCUUUCUUGGGAAAAUAAAGGGGAGGAAGGAGGGAUUCAAGUCAACAGAAAAAUAAGUGGUAGUCAUCUCAUUUUUAGAUCUCAGUCAGGAAUUUGUCCUUCUGCAAAAGAGUCUGGCACCACACCCACUGGAACCACAAAUUGCAAGGCUUAUGGGUCGGGAGGUUUGCACAGAAGAAAGAGAACACUCUCUGCAUUUACCAAUUGUUUUCCAACUCCUUCCGCUAAUCGGGAAUCUCUGCUAGAAAACGACACCGGGUGUGUGUUGCUGAGUUUCACCUGCUCUCAGGCCUGCUGGUGCCUCCCAGACCCUUUGAUCCUGGGCUCCUAUUGUCUCCUGAAACAAAUCCUUUCCAUUUUGUAUUUUCCCUCCUAGAUCACCUGAUACCUCCAAGCAACCAGGUGUUUCUUUCAGAAGCCAGAAGCUGAUAACCUGGACCCACUAAUCUAACCCCCAGUCCAUGUUCUUUGUAGUGGAAGACUGACAGCGGAGAUUCUUUCUCCUGGGAGGUGGGUGCCAACUCUCCCUUUCAAACAUGUUCACCAGCAAACUAAAGAGGAUGCCAGAAAUGUUUGGAGCUACAGAAGCACCAAUGGAAUGAGUAAAUAAUUUUAGAAGACAAUUAUUUCAAGAUGGCAUCUCAUUUAGAUGUACAAGUUUUGGGUAAAAAAAUAAAAUACAAUAUGUCCUAUUACUUUUUAGAUAUCACUUGAGUCAUUAUCUCUACAACUUGAUUAUAAAUCCCUUGGUACAAAAACUAUGUCUUAGAUGUAUUUGUGUCCCACACUAUAUUUAGCACUGAACUGAAAACAUUAUAAGCACAUAUACCUUGCUGAUUUGUUGUUUCUUUGUUUCUGGAUGAGGUAUUUCCUUGGAUUAUAUACCUCAUUGAUUUUUUUCCAUUAAUUGGAACAUCCAAUUCAAAAUAAGUGCCCAGUAUUUUAUUAGUCCUCACAGAAGCUGAGUGAAGAAGUAGAGAUGAUGGUCAUUCUCUAGAUAUUUUGGAGAGAGUUUGGGAUCAAGACCAAAGAUCUUGAGUGAUUUUCCAGGCAUCACCAAAUAAACCAGGGAUAGAGCCCCUCAGUUGGGAAAGAAAACUUCACAGGCACAGGGCAGGGAUCUGUUAUGUGUUAGGUAAAUCCACUGAACACAGCUAAGUGAAACAUUUGGUGGGGUUUCUGAAGGGAGAGCCUAAAUUCAUCUUGAUGCCAACUGGGUUCCCUACAUCUAAGGAGAAACAGGUAUAGCAGAAUCUCAUAACACUAUUUAAGGCCAUUCUUCUCGCUCAAAGGAACAAACCACAACCAACUCUUCCCAGAAUUAGCCCAUGAAGGGUACGGGUGUGUGCUGAGGCACGUGAGAGAGGAGGCCUGAUGUUGGGACUGUCCUCAUGACUUAUAUUUGACAUUCAGCCAAGCACCAAUUAACUUCCCCAUAUGUUUUCCAGAACACAGAGGGCCUUACUCUAGCAUAGGCAAUGCCUAUCUUCAAACACAUCCAAGGUAGAGAGACAUGUUAUGCCAACAGGCAAUGUCCUGGUAAAACACCUUAAACAAUGGAUGGGGGUCUGCCUUGGGACACUGUCCAUACUGAGGAAUAGAUACUGCAUUUGCACAUAGGCUUAGAAUUCCUCUAAAGCUCCGUGAUUCUGGUUAAACUAUAUGCAUAUCCCUUGUCUGGCUGGUCCUAUUGGUGCACGCCUAGGAUCAGAGGCAAUAAUUCUUCUAUGACUUUAAAUUCAUGAGUUAAUUCUAAGCAUCUUUACAAUUUGUGUUGCAAUCUACUUGAGUUAAUAUUGAAAAUAUUCGAAGGUUUUGUGUGUAGGCAAUAAAGUGGACUAGUAUGAUAGGAGGACAAAAGUCCUUCUUUACCAGUAAUCUAAAAGAGCUUGAUUUUUGCUUCCAGUCAAUCCAGUUAGGUGUAUAACAGCAGAUUUUCCUUAAACUUGGAAGAAGCAAAGAAUUUGGGGUCAGGAAACCUUAGUUAAGGUGCUUUAUUUAUUAAAUGUGUGACUCUGAGCAAAUGACUUAACCUCCCUGAGUCUCGGUUUCUUCAUUUGAAAAAUAAGAACCUAAUGCCUACUUCACAUGGGUAUAAGGAUUAAAUGUGGUAAUGUAUGUACAAGUGCUUUGAAAAUGGUAUAGAAGGAUACAAAUGAGCCUUCCCAUUGUUUUAUUCACAGUGCUCCUGCAUGACUGCAUCUACUUAACCCACUCUCCAAGAUCUAGAAUCAGAUUUCAACCAUAUGGAAUCAUCCACGGUGCAGCAGAUGGGUUUACAAGUCUCUUGGUCUCUUUGUGUAACUAACAGCCAAGAAGUCUGAAGCUUGCAUUGUUUACAUGGAAGAUGUUUCUUGCUCUUCUCUUGCCCAUUCCCACGCCAUACCAUCUGAACUUGCCACCUUUUUUUUUGUUUGUUCAGUGCAGUUCUUUAACUUUGUGGGGUCCUCUUCACAUGGACUCCAUUCCAC